rnacentral:tRNA from 1 species
GCGUGGGUGGCUCAGUCGGUUGAGCGUCUGACUUCGGCUCAGGUCAUGGCCUCGAGGUUCGUGAGUUCGAGCCCCGCGUC